CGACAGGGCGCGGAACCCGAAAACCUGUCUCAGUUCGGAUUGGAGUCUGCAACCCGACUCCAUGAAGCUGGAUUCGCUAGUAAUCGCGCAUCAGCCACGGCGCGGUGAAUACGUUCCCGGGCCUUGUACACACCGCCCGUCAAGCCAUGGAAGCCGGGAGUGCCUGAAGUGCGUGACCGCAAGGAGCGUCCUAAGGCAAUACCGGUGACUGGGGCUAAGUCGUAACAAGGUAGC
rnacentral:rRNA from 1 species